CAGAGUAAAUAUAUGUGCGUUAUACCGUAAGAUGCGGUAUUAAGUGUCAUGUGAACGGGGAGUUGUCACACGAACGAAAGGAUUUUUCCUGCGGUACAUAUAUUGCAUCCCGCUGU
rnacentral:ncRNA from 1 species